UACAGAGGGUGCAAGCGUUAAUCGGAAUUACUGGGCGUAAAGGGCUCGUAGGCGCCAACUAAGUCGAACGUGAAAUCCCUGGGCUCAACCCAGGAACUGCGUCCGAUACUGGUUGGCUUGAAUCCGGGAGAGGGAUGUGGAAUUCCAGGUGUAGCGGUGAAAUGCGCAGAUAUCAGGAGGAACACCGGUGGCGAAGGCGGGGUCUCUGGGCCGUAACUGACGCUGGAGGAGCGAAAGCGUGGGGAGCGAACAGG
rnacentral:rRNA from 1 species